UACGGAGGGUGCAAGCGUUGUCCGGAAUCACUGGGCGUAAAGCGCACGUAGGCGGCUUUUUAAGUCAGGGGUGAAAUCCUGGAGCUCAACUCCAGAACUGCCUUUGAUACUGAGAGCUUGAGUCCGGGAGAGGUGAGUGGAACUGCGAGUGUAGAGGUGAAAUUCGUAGAUAUUCGCAAGAACACCAGUGGCGAAGGCGGCUCACUGGCCCGGUACUGACGCUGAGGUGCGAAAGCGUGGGGAGCAAACAGG
rnacentral:rRNA from 1 species